rnacentral:rRNA from 1 species
CCUACGGGAGGCAGCAGUGGGGGAUAUUGCACAAUGGGGGAAAGCCUGAUCCAGCGACGCCGCGUGUGGGAAGACGGUCCUCUGGAUUGUAAACUACUGUCCGCAGGGACGAAGAUGACGGUACCUGGGGCGGAAGCUCCGGCUAACUACGAGACAGCAGCGGCGGGAUUACGUAGGGAGCGAGCGUUGUCCGGAAUUACUGGGUGUAAAGGGAGCGUAGGCGGGGAUGAAAGUUGGGUGUCAAAACUACCGGCUCAACUGGUAGUCGCACUGGAAACUGCAGCGCUUGAGUGAAGUAGAGGCAGGCGGAAUUCCUAGUGUAGCGGUGAAAUGCGUAGAUAUUAGGAGGAACACCGGUGGCGAAGGC